ensembl:lncRNA novel transcript, antisense to NDUFV2
GUGUCUUUUUUUUUUUUUGGAGACGGAGUUUCGCUCUUGUUGCCCAGGCUGGAGUUCAAUGGCAUGAUCUCGGCUCACCACAACCUCUGCCUCCCGGGUUCAAGCGAUUCUCCUACCUCAGCCUCCCAAGUAGCUGAGAUUACAGGCAUGUGCCACUACGUCUGGAUAAUUUUUUGUAUUUUUAGUAGAGACGGGGUUUCUCCAUGUUGGCCAAGGCAAGCGUAUCACUUGAGGUCAGGAGUUCAAGACCAGCCUGGCCAACGUGGUGAAACUGCAUCUCUACCAAAAAAUACAAAAAUUGGCCGGGUGUGGUGGCGCACACCUGUAGUCCCAGCUACUCAGGAGGCUGAGGUGGGAGAAUCGCCUGAACCUGGGAGGUGAAGGUUGCAGUGAGCUGAGAUCACACCACUGCACUCCAGUCUGGGUGACAAAGUGAGACCCUGUCUCAAAACAAAAACAAACAAAAAAACCCAAUGAAGUCUUUAGUUCUUUCCCUGUCUUACUAUCACCACUAUUUCAGACAUUAUUUCAUGUCUGUGCAUUA